rnacentral:rRNA from 1 species
UGGGGAAUCUUGCGCAAUGGACGAAAGUCUGACGCAGCAACGCCGCGUGAGGGAUGAAGGUUUUCUGAAUUGUAAACCUCUUUCGACAGGAACGAUUGUGACGGUACCUGUAGAAGAAGCACCGGCCAACUAUGUG